UUCGGUGAUAUAAUUAGUGGCAAACGGGUGAGUAACACGUGGAUAUCUACCUAAUAGUGCGGAAUAAUCAUUGGAAACGAUGACUAAUACCGCAUACUCCCUCCGGGGGAAAGAUUUAUCGCUAUUAGAUGAGUCCGCGUUAGAUUAGCUUGUUGGUGGGGUAAUGGCCUACCAAGGCGACGAUCUAUAGCUGGUUUGAGAGGAUGAUCAGCCACACUGGAACUGAGACACGGUCCAGACUCC
rnacentral:rRNA from 1 species